ACGAGUUUAAUUGUUUUGCAAGAUUCAAGAAGGCAGUUUUGGAAAUAUGUUUUUCGUGAUGUUGCUGAUAUCCUUUCCGAUUGCAAGUUUGCAGUUGUCCUAUAAGGUCCUAUAGCAUCAGUCACUUUGAGCUAUUUCGUACGUGUCUGUCGCUUCUGAUAGUGCCACACUGGCAUUCCAGAACUGUGCUGUGGCUCCACCAGCACGGAAUUACAAAUCUUUGGGCUGCGAACUUUUCGGUAUCAAUAGAUUUUGGUUUGGCUUUUCCGAAAAAAUAUGGUAUUUGCCGCUCUUCCUCCAAUUUUCAGAUCCAGGUUGUUCCGCUAUGGCCUUCCUUUUAUGGUCACCGUUGUUGGUGGAUCUUUUUGGCUGCGGGAUUUUGCACAGUUGCGGUAUACCUUCCGGAAAGUAAAAAGGGUGUCAGCUGAAGAAUUUGCCGAACUUGUUGGAAAGCAGAAGGAUCUUCGUCGUGUCGAUCCGGAAGAACUGCUCAGGGAAGUGCAAGCAGAAGCUGACGCGAAUUACGAAAUGGUACGUGGACCUAGGCCAUGGGAAGAAAAUAACCAGCUUGAGGAAAUCAAGAAAAAGCGCCAAGAAGAACGGAAACGGAAGAAAGAAGCCGCUGCGGCGGCCGUGGUGUAAUGCUGUAUUGUACAGCACAACAACGUGACAUCGCGGUGUGUGUGUGACUGUGUGCCCUGUUAUUAUGAAAACGCGGUUUGAGUAUACCAACUUUCGGUUUAAACCAGAGAGUAUCUGCAUACGUAACACCAUAUUACAACAUCAGGUGGUGAUACGGCUGCCAGUGCGGGUGUGUAACAAGUGUUUUGCAAUGAAAUAUUCUCUCCAAAAGUGGAUUUCCCAUGCAACGAAAUAAGCAACCGAUGAUUUAUUCCUUUCUCCAUAUUUCAUAAUUACAGCUGACUUGGAAUUAGGAAUUGAAUUAAGCGUUAACAUUUUUGCCAGUGUGUUUGAGCUCAGUUGUGAGCUGUGUUGCAAACUUGCCCUCACUGCGCCAUAGACAGAAUUUUAAAGUAUGUUAUUUUCUUAUUUAAAAGUAUGUGUUUAUUACCGUGUUUCGUUUAUAGUUGUAUUGUCGUUGUACGUUUCUAGCGGUAAAAUUUCUGCCUUUUAGGUUUUUUGAGCCGUAUAUAUGUUCCCGGCUGCUUGAGCUAGAAUUCUACUUACCAUUAGUGUACAAGCAGAGCAUUUAGCCUUUUGACUAAGUGUCGCUUGAUUAAGUCGUUUGCAAUCAUUCCGGCUUGCACUCUUUCCUUUUCGAUGCAGUUAAAUGGAUAAAAUGUAGAAACAAAUCGGAGCCAAUUGGUGUUAUUUUGUACUUGCUUUUGUUCUCUUUGGUUAGUGUCUGCUGAAGAUUUUGCGCUGAACAGCUCGAUGACCUACCCUAGAGUGUGUAUUGCAGCUUCCGAAAGCUCUGCAGCGUUGUA